GACGAACGCUGGCGGCGCGCUUAACACAUGCAAGUCGAACGGAAAGGCCUGCUUUCCCUUGUGGAUUGCGGGUACUCGAGUGGCGAACGGGUGAGUAACACGUGAGUGAUCUGCCCCCAACUUGGGUAUAAGCCUGGGAAACUGGGUCUAAUUCCCGAUAGGACUGCAGGGUGGUGCCUGUGGUGGAAAACGAUUUUCUAGUGGUUGGGGAUGAGCUCGCGGCCUAUCAGCUUGUUGGUGGGGUAAUGGCCUACCAAGGCGGCGACGGGUAGCCGGCCUGAGAGGGUGGACGGCCACAUUGGGACUGAGAUACGGCCCAGACUCCUACGGGAGGUAGCAGUGGGGAAUAUUGCACAAUGGGCGGAAGCCUGAUGCAGCGACGCCGCGGGGGGGAUGACGGCCUUCGGGUUGUAAACUCCUUUCGACCGCGAGGAAGCCACCUGGUUGGAAGGGUGGUGACGGUAGUGGUAGAAGAAGCACCGGCUAACUACGUG
rnacentral:rRNA from 1 species